GUGGGGAAUAUUGGACAAUGGGCGAAAGCCUGAUCCAGCCAUGCCGCGUGUGUGAAGAAGGUCUUCGGAUUGUAAAGCACUUUAAGUUGGGAGGAAGGGCAGUAAGUUAAUACCUUGCUGUUUUGACGUUACCGACAGAAUAAGCACCGGCUAACUUCGUGCCAGCAGCCGCGGUAAUACGAAGGGUGCAAGCGUUAAUCGGAAUUACUGGGCGUAAAGCGCGCGUAGGUGGUUCAGCAAGUUGGAGGUGAAAUCCCCGGGCUCAACCUGGGAACUGCUGCCAAAACUACUGGGCUAGAGUACGGUAGAGGGUAGUGGAAUUUCCUGUGUAGCGGUGAAAUGCGUAGAUAUAGGAAGGAACACCAGUGGCGAAGGCGACUACCUGGACUGAUACUGACACUGAGGUGCGAAAGCGUGGGGAGCAAACAGGAUUAGAUACCCCGGUAGUCC
rnacentral:rRNA from 1 species